AGGUGAGAGUGGCAACGUUUCUCACACCUACUUCCUUUCUGUUCCCUGCACUGGGUCCCAUCCCCUCCAUGUACAAUAGCUGCCUGGCAGGUCUCUUCCUUCUAGCAACUCCCUGCUCCUGCAGUCCCUCCGUGACCUUCCUGAUGGGGAGAUCCUCAAGACUUUUCCCAUGAGCUCGGGGUUCCUGAGGCCCAGAAGAAGAGGACAGAGUUUUAAUGGAGACAAGAGGCAGAGAAGAAAAACUUACUGUAAAGGACAUGCAUGGAAUAAAACAGCAGUAUUUGACAAAAUACAGAAAAGACCUAAGUUCUAGCUUCAACUUGCGAAGAUGGUCUUCAGCUCAAACUUCCCCAAUUUAUUCCAACUUCUAAAGCAGUAGUCUAAGGCACUAGGACAAGAAGCAGAUGAACAUGUAUAGCCAGUAUUGGGCCACCAUGCCCGUCCCACCUAGACUCAUACCUUGUCUCAUCCACUCGACCUCGUCCUCGGUGACAAAGCUGCACAAGGCUUUUGCCAUUGCCAGUCGUAUUGCUCCAGCCUGCGCUGACCUCCCGCCCCCUGAGACUGUGCAGGUCACGUCGUGCUUUCCCAGCCGGUCAACAAAGUGGAAAGGGAACAUCAGCUGUUCUCUAAAGCACAGCACAAGUAAAUGUGGUUACGUUUACUAUAAAGAUACAUAAUUAUGUAAACAACUGAAAUUCUGAAUAUUCAUAAAAACAAUAUUCUGCAUGC
rnacentral:lncRNA from 1 species